rnacentral:misc_RNA from 1 species
UAGAGAGUUAGCUGUAAAGCAUCUUUAUACUACUACUUAUUGCUGGAGAGCAGAAUUAAGUGUUGCAUCGAAGACCAAAUGUGUAUCAUGGUGGUAUAGAUUACUGCCAUUCUUUUUUUUUUUUCCUAAUAAGAUUAGGUAUUGUACAGGUUCCUAAGUAAUUUUGUAGCGAAAACAGUCUUAAUAUGUUUUACCAGACAUGUAUACCAAGAAUAUUGUAUUCAAAAUGACCCCCUAACUAAUUACUUUACUUUGUGGUUUUCCUCACCUGUUGAUAAAAUUGCAGCUUGUUCACAGUAAUACAAUCAUUUGCAUUUUCUGCAGAA